rnacentral:rRNA from 1 species
GACGAACCGUCCGAACGUUAUUCGGAAUGACUGGGCGUAAAGGGCGCGUAGGCGGCGGACUAAGUCAGGCGUGAAAGCCCUGGGCUUAACCUGGGAAUUGCGUUUGAUACUGGUUUGCUUGAGUGCGGGAGAGGAUGGUGGAAUUCCCAGUGUAGAGGUGAAAUUCGUAGAUAUUGGGAAGAACACCGGUGGCGAAGGCGGCCAUCUGGACCGUUACUGACGCUGAGGCGCGAAAGCGUGGGGAGCAAACAGG